UACGGAGGGUGCAAGCGUUAAUCGGAAUUACUGGGCGUAAAGGGUGCGUAGGUGGUUAAUUAAGUUAUCUGUAAAAUCCCUGGGCUUAACCUGGGCAGGUCAGAUAAGACUGGUUGACUCGAGUAUGGGAGAGGGUAGUGGAAUUUCCGGUGUAGCGGUGAAAUGCGUAGAGAUCGGAAGGAACACCAGUGGCGAAGGCGGCUACCUGGCCUAAUACUGACACUGAGGCACGAAAGCGUGGGGAGCAAACAGG
rnacentral:rRNA from 1 species